AUUGAACGCUGGCGGCAGGCUUAACACAUGCAAGUCGAGCGGAGAUGAGGUGCUUGCACCUUAUCUUAGCGGCGGGAGGGUGAGUAAUGCUUAGGAAUCUGCCUAUUAGUGGGGGACAACAUUCCGACAGGAAUGCUAAUACCGCAUACGUCCUACGGGAGAAAGCAGGGGAUCUUCGGACCGUGCGCUAAUAGAUGAGCCUAGGUCGGAUGAGCUAGGUGGUGGGGUAAAAGCAUACCAAGGCGACGAUCUGUCGCGGGUCUGAGAGGAUGAUCCGCCACACUGGGACUGAGACACGGCCCAGACUCCUACGGGAGGCAGCAGUGGGGAAUAUUGGACAAUGGGGGGAACCCUGAUCCAGCCAUGCCGCGUGUGUGAAGAAGGCCUUAUGGUUGUAAAGCACUUUAAGCGAGGAGGAGGCUACUGAGACUAAUACUCUUGGAUAGUGGACGUUACUCGCAGAAUAAGCACCGGCUAACUCUGUGCCAGCCGCCGCAGUAAAAC
rnacentral:rRNA from 1 species